AUAUUUAGAAAUACUACCCUAAAAAAGCUCAAUUUCAUCUGAUCCUGGAAAUUAAGCAGGGCUGGGCUUGAAUAGUACAUGGAUAAU
rnacentral:rRNA from 1 species